rnacentral:lncRNA from 1 species
UAAAAAAAUCCUAUACCAAAACCUAAGGAAAUCUUAAUCAAACUCUAAAUCUUAAAAAAACUCUUAAUAAAUCCAAUAGCAAAUUAAAAUCUCAAAAACUAGUGAUGGAAUUUUUAAUAUCAAUUCAUAUUUUGCAUAAUUUUUAAAAUCUUAGUUAGAAACAAACACAAGUAAGAUGACAUUGAUCUCUCUCAUCAAUUAAGAGAAAUGCAAGAUAAUCCAAUCAAGUGUUGAACGACCUCCUAUUCUAAGUAGAUUUCUAAACUUCAAGCACUAAUAUCUCUUUUUUAAACCAUUGAAUUGCUUUAAAAUUUCACCUAAACAUUAGGAAUCAAAUCUUGUAUUCAUAUGAAAAAUUUCACUUCAAUCCAAUCUACUAAUAGCUGAAGAACUUAGAAAAACUUACUAAGCCUCAAGCUCCAAUUUCUAAGAUUUCAAUGCACA